GAGGGUAUAGCUAAGUAGUAGAGUAUGUGCUUAGCAUGUACAAGGGCCUGGGUUCAAUUCCCAGUACCUCCA
rnacentral:tRNA from 1 species